rnacentral:rRNA from 1 species
UACGUAGGGUGCAAGCGUUAAUCGGAAUUACUGGGCGUAAAGCGUGCGCAGGCGGUUGUGCAAGACAGAGGUGAAAUCCCCGGGCUUAACCUGGGAAUGGCCUUUGUGACUGCACGGCUAGAGUGUGUCAGAGGGGGGUAGAAUUCCACGUGUAGCAGUGAAAUGCGUAGAGAUGUGGAGGAAUACCGAUGGCGAAGGCAGCCCCCUGGGCCAAUACUGACGCUCAUGCACGAAAGCGUGGGGAGCAAACAGG